UUUAGAGUGGCAGAUAGAUGCAUAGGAUUUAAGCUCCUAUUAGGAAGAAUUAUCUUCCUCUAAAA
rnacentral:tRNA from 1 species